rnacentral:rRNA from 1 species
GACGUAGGGCGCGAGCGUUGUCCGGAUUUAUUGGGCGUAAAGAGCUCGUAGGCGGCUUGUCGCGUCGUUCGUGAAAACCUGUGGCUCAACUACAGGCUUGCGGUCGAUACGGGCAGGCUGGAGUUCGGUAGGGGAGACUGGAAUUCCUGGUGUAGCGGUGAAAUGCGCAGAUAUCAGGAGGAACACCGGUGGCGAAGGCGGCAUCCUGGACCAACACUGACGCUGAGGAGCGAAAGCCAGGGGAGCAAACGGG